rnacentral:rRNA from 1 species
GACGAACGCUGGCGGCGUGCUUAACACAUGCAAGUCGAGCGGUAAGGCCCUUUCGGGGGUACACGAGCGGCGAACGGGUGAGUAACACGUGGGUGACCUGCCCUCAGCUCUGGGAGUAAGCCCGGGAAACUAGGGUCUAAUACUGGAUAUGACUCCAUGACGCAUGUUGUGGGUGGAAAGCCUUGUGCGGCUGGGGAUGGGCCCGCGGCCUAUCAGCUUGUUGGUGGGGUGGAUGGCCUACCAAGGCGACGACGGGUAGCCGGCCUGAGAGGGCGACCGGCCACACUGGGACUGAGACACGGCCCAGACUCCUACGGGAGGCAGCAGUGGGGAAUCUUGCGCAAUGGGCGAAAGCCUGACGCAGCGACGCCGCGUGAGGGAUGACGGCCU